AUGUAACAGAGGUGGCCCAGAUGCCAGCAGCCUGUCUUCAGAAAAGCUUUAGCAAACUGAAACAGCAUCCAAAAGCAAAAGGAUGGAUUGAUGGAUGGAUAGAAGGAUGGAUUUAUGACAAAACAAAUGUAACAAAUUGUUAGUUGUUGACUCUAGGAGACCCAUGAAGGUGAAGCUAAGGCCUGGGAGUGAGACUGAGGGAGGCUCCUCAGACAAGACAUUACUAUGAAUCAAGACAUGGAGCAGGCUUGAGAGACCACUGGAAAAACUUGGAGCUGGAGCCGAAACAAGCAGGUAAAGGUGUAUGGUAGCUUGUGGUGCACGAACCAUCAAAACUCCACCUUCACUCUGGCCACCUUUGUCUGCUCAUGAACUACUUUUUUCCAUUCGGGAAAGUGGGAAUAGAAGUUGUCUCCUAUAAGAAGCAAAGUGGAAGAUAGGAGCUUCCUCUCCAGGACAGCUUCUCCAGGAAAUCUCAGCUUCCGAUUCACCCUCAGAUAUACCCUCCCCAGGGUAAAUUUCUGGUAAACAUUUGACUACUCAACAACUUAAACCCUAGGCAUAUUGUCUGUUUUUCUUUUCUUUAACUAUUGCUUAUUCUUUCUUUCCAGUUUGAAACUGUAAAUAAAAGUUUUCUUCAAAGUGAGUAUCAGUCAACACACAAUCUCAGAAUUAUCAGAGCUAGAUUAUUAGGCAGACAUUGACUAAGGUCCUUCAGAGAUUAGAUCUAAGUCACCCCAGUGACCCUGAGGGAUCCUGCCUUAAUUACCAGUUCCCUAGAAGUAUGUCCUUUCUUCCAAUCAAAAUUCUUGCUGCAUCAUUAAACUGUGGCCUACAAGCUUUAUAGUCCUCAAGAUGAAACUUUUAUCUCAUAACAGAUGAUUAAGCCCUUCUGCAGUGUAUUCUGCACUCCUCAAUGGAGAGAAUUUUCAUGUUAGCCACUUUCUGCCUUCUUUUCUACCCCCACUAAAUAGAAUUUUGACUUUCCGUUUUAUUCUGGACAUGGUGCAACUGUUUCCACUUUAAAUGUGACUCUUCCUCUAAUCCCACCUCUCACCCCCGCCCAGUUUUUAGGCCUACUCUUGCAUCUAUAUCCAAAGUACAAGAGAAAAUAGAACUUAAUGAUCCAGAGCUGAGUAUCUUUUUCAUGAUCAAUCCUUGUGGUACUGCCAUCUAACCUACACAUGCAUUUUAUUAAGGAAACCUUUUACCAAUGCAUGUGCACGCGCAUCCACACACACUCACACUCACAUAUGUUUUCCAGAUGGCAAUAAUUUUGAUAUGGGCAGGGUUUUGGUACUUGGAGUGAAGGGUAGGGAACUAACAUUUGAAAAAUGCCUACUGCAAUCCAACCUUACAAAUGGCACGACCACUCCUUAAA